AAGUCGUACGGAGAGUGGGGCAACUCACUCUCAGUGGCAAACGGGUGAGUAACGCGUGAAUAACCUGCCUUUGAGAAGGGGAUAACUGUCCGAAAGGAUAGCUAAUACCCUAUAUUGCCUUUUGUCACUAAGGCAAAAAGUGAAAGCGAGGCUGUCAAAGGCUUCGGCUCAAAGAGGGGUUCGCGUCCUAUCAGGUAGUUGGUGGGGUAAUGGCCUACCAAGCCAAUGACGGGUAGCUGGUCUUAGAGGAUGAUCAGCCACAGUGGGACUGAGACACGGCCCGCACCCCUACGGGGGGCAGCAGUGGGGGAAUCGUGGGCAAUGGGCGCAAGCCUGACCCCGCAAUGCCGCGUGAGGGAAGAAGCCCUUCGGGGUGUAAACCUCUGUCAGAUGGGAAGAU
rnacentral:rRNA from 1 species